rnacentral:tRNA from 3 species
GCCGGGAUGGCGGAAUCGGUAGACGCAGCGGAUUCAAAAUCCGCCGCCGCAAGGCGUGGGGGUUCGAGUCCCCCUCCCGGCACCA